rnacentral:lncRNA from 13 species
CUCUUCCAAGAAGCAGCCUGUGGCAAUUUAAAAAUAUGUCCAUAAAUUCCUUAAUACUCCUCCUUUCAGGAGGUAGAGCCUAAUUUCCCUCCCUUUGAGGGUGAGCUCAGCUCAGUGACUCGCUUGUAAUGACUAGAAUAAUACAGAAGUUAUGAUGUGUGACUUCAGAGACCGAGUCAUGAAAGGCACUGUGACUUCUGCCUUGCUCUCUAAGAUAGCUCACUCUGGGAAUGUUAGCUGCCAUGUCAUAAGGAUACUCAUGCAACUCUGUGUAGAGACCCAUGUAACAGGAACUGAAGCCUCUUGCCAUGUGAUGAGCCAUCUUACAAGUGAAUCCUCCAGCCUCAGUCAAGCCUCAAGAUGCCUGCAGCCACACAAAGAUCCUGAGCUAGAGCCACCCAGUCAAGGCACUGAAUUCGGACCAGGAUCAACCCAACUGCUCUUUAAUUUGGAACACUCUGUCUUCCUCUAUGAUAGAGAAAUCAAGAUGCCAUUUGACUAUUUUCUGAUUUCAGCACCACUAAAUUCCCUCACAGUUUCAUUGUCUACAUGCCAAUAAUCUUGUUGGCAACUUAUCUUCAUGACCAGGUGAUUUCUCUGCACCUCCAGCCAGCUUCCUGCAUAGAGGGGAAGAGGUGGUCUUAAUGCGGUGGCGAACUACACCCUCAUCUCUCUACACCUGAGGUCAUACAACACAACCUGGACCACCUAUCAUAUGGCUAUGGCAAAGCUGCUAACCUCAGGGAUAUGCCAAUGAAACAAAGACCCUAUACAUCCUGCAGAGGGGACCUGGCACACAGGUGGGGAAACCAGCUUAGAACUUGUUCAUCUAAUCCUAUUGAUUGACAUUUUAUAUCCAGAAUUCAGUGGUUAUAUAGCCUUUAUACUUUUACACUUUAUCCAUCUCAGCAGCACUUGUUGGACACCAGCAUUGUGCAGGGCCCUAGGACUUAAAAAAGUGACUUAAACUAGAGUGGAUCGGCAACCAACAGAAUGGGAAAAAAUUUUCGCAGUCUACCCAUCUGACAAAGGGCUGAUAUCCAGAAUUUACAAAGAACUCAAGCAGAUUUACAGGAAAAAAACAAACAAGCCCA